CCUACGGGGGGCAGCAGUGGGGAAUAUUGGACAAUGGGGGCAACCCUGAUCCAGCCAUGCCGCGUGUGUGAAGAAGGCCCUCGGGUUGUAAAGCACUUUCAGUGAGGAAGAACGCCUGGUGGUUAAUACCCAUCAGGAAAGACAUCACUCACAGAAGAAGCACCGGCUAACUCCGUGCCAGCAGCCGCGGUAAUACGGAGGGUGCGAGCGUUAAUCGGAAUUACUGGGCGUAAAGCGCGCGUAGGUGGCUUGAUAAGCCGGUUGUGAAAGCCCCGGGCUCAACCUGGGAAUGGCAUCCGGAACUGUCAAGCUAGAGUGCAGGAGAGGAAGGUAGAAUUCCCGGUGUAGCGGUGAAAUGCGUAGAGAUCGGGAGGAAUACCAGUGGCGAAGGCGGCCUUCUGGACUGACACUGACACUGAGGUGCGAAAGCGUGGGUAGCAAACAGGAUUAGAUACCCGGGUAGUC
rnacentral:rRNA from 1 species